rnacentral:misc_RNA from 1 species
CGGGUAUCUAGCUCACGGGACAGCAACUGAUUACAUGUAUGAUAUUGCAAGAGUGCCCAUGUCUUUCACCUUCGAGAUCUAUGGUGAUAGCACGGCCUCGUCAAAGGACUGCUUUAAGAUGUUCAAUCCCACUGACAUCACUACUUUUAAUAGAGUUCUCAACGACUGGUCUGCUGCAUUUUUUACGCUGUUCAGUUUGGGUGGAGUCCAGAUUGAGGAACUUCAUCCAAAUGCAACUGGAUCCGGUUUUGAGAAGUGGGUCUCUAUCGAUGAUUAUCUGAAUGGUUAUUUAAUGGAAAGGAAAAGUAGGUACGGGAAGAAAAUG